AUGGAGAGCUCCGUUGAGGCUUCCAAGACUAGUGUUACGUCGAACCCCAAGCCACCACUGGCCCCCAAACCUGGCCUCGCUCCUAAGCCCUUCUCUGUGCAGAAGAACACCACCAUCCGCUCCAUUCAUGCCCCAAAGACGCUCCCCGCUACCUCGAAAAUUCAAAAAUCAGAGCCUACAGGUGUCUCCAAACCGACUUUGACCCCUCGUGCUCAGAAAACAUCUCAGCCGGCUGUCACCUCAAAUGCAAAACCAGGCUCUCAAAGUGAGCUUCCCAAAAGUGACCCAACAACAACCAAAGCUAGUGAGGCAGGUAAAGAGGAAACUCGUGAUUCCAGUGUAGGAAAAACAGCCUCACAAACCAGUCAGCCCGAAGAGACAAAGAAAUCUGAGCUUGUCCAGAAAGACGACAUCACCCAAACAAACCACAAAGCUUCUGGAGAUGUUGCAAGUAACUCAGAGCAGAACGACGGAAAAGCGAAGGAAGAUGAAACUCAAGCUUCUGUCGUCAAAAUGCGGAAUCACUCAGGCAGCGAUGGUUCCUCUUCAACCGAUGAAACAUUUCGUUGGGGUGGUGCUAGGAAGCGUCUGUCCAUGGAGCUCACCUCAAAGUUUGAGUCAGGCGGUCUGUCUCUGCCCCCGCAGCCUACCACAGCUAUCUCCACAUACAACACCAAAGGGCGUUCAAAUAGGCUAGUAUCUCCUGCUCCAGAGCAGAAGCAGCCAUCUCCAGAGCAGAAGCAGGCAUCUCCAGAGCAGAGGCAGGCAUCUCCAGAGCAGAAGCAGCCAUCACCAGAGCAGAAGCAGCCAUCACCAGAGCAGAAGCAGCCAUCUCCAGAGCAGAAGCAGCCAUCUCCAGAGCAGAGGCAGGCAUCUCCAGAGCAGAAGCAGCCAUCUCCAGAGCAGAAGCAGGCAUCUCCAGAGCAGAAGCAGGCAUCUCCAGAGCAGAAGCAGCCAUCACCAGAGCAGAAGCAGCCAUCACCAGAGCAGAAGCAGCCAUCUCCAGAGCAGAAGCAGCCAUCUCCAGAGCAGAAGCAGCCAUCUCCAGAGCAGAGGCAGCCAUCUCCAGAGCAGAAGCAGCCAUCUCCAGAGCAGAAGCAGCCAUCUCCAGAGCAGAAGCAGCCAUCUCCAGAGCAGAAGCAGCCAUCUCCAGAGCAGAAGCAGGCAUCGCCAGAGCAGAGGCAGGCAUCUCCAGAGCCUUCAAACAAAGAGAGCGAUGACGGUGAAGUGAAAGAGGAUUACACCGGGGGAAACAGCAUAAAACGCAGAAUUAGUCAACUGUUUGACUCUGCGUCGAGGCCGGAGGCCAUGCCGAAGAGGGACGAACCGGAAAUCUUAAACGGUAUAGGAGGGGUGAAGGAGCGCAUCAAAAAUUGGGCUGCAGAAACAAGUUCUGAGGGUCCAAAGAUGGAGAAGAAGCCUCCGGCUACAUCCCGAGCACGCUCCAAGAGGUGA
rnacentral:lncRNA from 1 species